GGAGAGGUGGCUCAGAGGUUAAGAGCACUGACGGUUCUUCCAGAGGUCCUGAGUUCAAUUCCCAGCAUCCACA
rfam:Neotoma lepida isolate 417 scaffold_85, whole genome shotgun sequence.